GACGAACGCUGGCGGCGUGCUUAACACAUGCAAGUCGAACGGAAAGGCCCUUCGGGGUACUCGAGUGGCGAACGGGUAAGUAACACGUGGGUGAUCUGCCCUGCACUUUGGGAUAAGCCUGGGAAACUGGGUCUAAUACCGAAUAGGACCGCGCGCUUCAUGGUGUGUGGUGGAAAGCUUUUGCGGUGUGGGAUGGGCCCGCGGCCUAUCAGCUUGUUGGUGGGGUAAUGGCCUACCAAGGCCACGACGGGUAGCCGGCCUGAGAGGGUGACCGGCCACACUGGGACUGAGAUACGGCCCAGACUCCUACGGGAGGCAGCAGUGGGGAAUAUUGCACAAUGGGCGCAAGCCUGAUGCAGCGACGCCGCGUGAGGGAUGACGGCCUUCGGGUUGUAAACCUCUUUCACCAGGGACGAAGCGCAAGUGACGGUACCUGGAGAAGAAGCACCGGCCAACUACGUG
rnacentral:rRNA from 1 species